AUACGCUCUCUGAACAUGAACUUUAUGCUGUUGUCUCUUCUCUGCUACUUCCGUUGUAUCACUAGCGGACUGCGCUUGGAUGUAAAAAAUGUCGCUUUCUUUCCUGUUCUGACUAAAAAACAAAUGUAAUUCGUCCUAUGAUGUUUGGUGAGAUACGUUCAGCCUUCCGACCACCUCUGACAGAGGCGCUUGGCGACAGUCGCCGCCUCUCAGCCUCUCUGUCUGAGGCGUUGAUCCCCCAGAGGCGAAAGGAGCUCCAUGGAAGAAGAGACAGAGCACGUAGCCGCUGAGAAAAAUCCCUCCGAUAAGGGUGCCUCCUCCUUCAAUGUCGCACCGUGGUUUGGAGAUAGCAUAGCGUCCGAUAUGUGUGCGUAUCCUCUCGCCACAAUGACCCUUUCAUCCGAUUCGCCCCGACGUCGCUCCAAACGGCGGGCCACCAGCCGGGAAAUAAAGAUGGGGCGAAAUGAGGGGAAUGGUAUCAAGGAUCUACCUAUUCGACGCCCAGGUGUCACGUUGGAAGGUUGUCUAUUUUUACCCAAUGGAAUAUAAAGCUUGAUUCCGAAAUCUAUUUGGUCAAAUAGUUCCAUGACAAAGAUGUGAACGAAUUGCAUACGGAUCUUGGGAUCUUGAGCUCCACAUGGGAAGAGUGGCAUCAAGACUAAAGUCGACCAAUAAACCAUAGCUGCAGGGCAUUUCUUUUUUGUAAUGUUGAUUGUUACUGUUAAUAUUGGUUCCAACUUAAAAUAUAACGUACUAUGACACCGUGAUUUGCACCUAGGCCAAACCUACCAUUCAAUUUCCACCUUCUGCAUUCUGCAUUUGUCCUACUGGAAUCGUGGCUCGUGCGGUUCGGUUAUUUACACGUUGGACGGGUUUGUCUCCACCCCGGGCUAUCAUAACUUCCCUUAGAAUACUGGAAAGCCUACCAUUUUCACCCACUAGGGAAGAGUAAAAGUUAAAGGGCUAUUAGGGUUUACGUGCUGAUUAAAAGUGUAUCAUAAACAUUUUCAUCAGGGUUGCUUAUUGCUCUGUAGCCCACUGCAAAGCAAUAAAUGAACUGUCUCAUUCCAGGUUAGGUCUGUAACCAGGACUUGUUAACCAAUGUAAUACAUUGGGCCUAGCCCCUUUAAGAUCCCAAAUGUAUUUAGUUGAUGUAGUUUACACAUGCAUACUUGUGUAAACAUGCUUGUAUAGCCGUUAUUCUGCAGGAAAAUGGAAGCUAUGCUAUUUCUCAAAUGAAUAAAUGAAACAUCAAAUUAGGCCUGAGGGCCUAUUUUUUUCCACUUCUACAUUAUAACUAGUUAUUGAACUAGGUGCACAAUCUGAAAGCCAUUUGUGGGAUGAAAGAAUUCAUUGCAGUUUCUCCAUCAAUAAUCCUUGGCAGUGAACUAUUGGAAGCAGUCACACGCGAGGGGUGAGACGCAGGUCAGGCUGUCUAACUAAUAUUAAAAUGCGCCCACAAAAAUAGUAGGCCGAGGAAGGGGGUAUGGUAUGCAUGUAUGGGUUUUCUUUGGGUUAUAAAAACAACCAAACAAAAACAGACAAACAGACAAAUAUUUCAUGACUUGCAUGCCUAAACGAGCAACACAUCUGCUGGAUAUUUCGGGGUUGGUUCCCUGUAGAAGCCGUAUCCUCGCCUCUUUUUUUUUUAUCAUAAUACAAAAUAGACAGCCAAAUUUUGCAAGCAGAUUAGCUUAUUUGUAAAGGCAUUUCAAUUUCCCAUGUGUAUUAUGUUUUUAAUCAAUUCAAUUGAUUCACGAGUAGCCCAUGUUUUACCUUCAAUAACACAGAAUCAGGCCACAUAUCUUCAAUUCAUUUUUCAUCCGGGCUUUUCUCAUUAGCUUCUAGGACGACAGGAAGAAAGGUUACCGAGCGGUCAGUAUGGUAAUAGAAAGCAGAAGAAAUCGUUGAGAACAAAAGAAACUUAUUUUUCAUCUGCGCUGUCACCAGACCCUUUUGUAUCGGCAGAGUUUGUGACUGAAUAUUAAUAUAAGAGCUAGCCCAAAAGCAGUUGUUAAAUGUGGGGAGAGAAACCACUUCCCUCCUUUAUCCUGUUUUGUGUGAGCGUGCAUAUGCAUGUAUUUAUAUCCGUGCCCGAAUUGUAUCUAUUUUGAAACCAUGGUGCAGAAGAUGUGAGUACGACUAAAUAUUGAAAACGUAACAUUUAUUAGGCUUAUGUAUAUAUCCUAAAAUAAUCCCUUAAGAAAUCACCACACCGCAGCUCCUAUAACAUACUCACACACUAGUUGUCUAUGUGUACCCUGUAGAACCGAAUUUGUGUUCAGUACAUAUCAUCGCAAAUACGUCUCUACAGGAAUACAUGGGCAACUGAAUUGCUACGCAAGAGAAUUGAUUUAUCUAUCUGCUAUUUUUUUCCAAGGCCUUAUUUUCGUGUCUCUGUGUAUUUUAUGCAGCAUACAUUGGCAUGCAACCUCAGUUUUCUAUUAGCAAAAGCAGCAGAGCAACAUAGUCCCAAAGUGUUUUCCUAGUCAUAACAUCAACAGCCUAGCUAUGGCUAGAGUGAGCAGACCCAUCUGCAGGAGUGUGUCAGACCCUGUAAAACAAGCAAGCUACUGCAGAUCGUUUUAAAGUGACUGAUUUACGGGUUUUAUUGCUCUAUAAAACGCCUCUAACAUCCUUGCAAGGGGGUAAUAGAAAUGUUGUGUAUUCUGUUUUCUCUGGGAAGGUUUAAAUGUGUACCACCAUCAGUAGAUUUUUAUUAUUUAUUUAUCUAUAGAUUAUAAUAUGGCCAUAACACUCCCUUUAGUUGCACUGAAGAUAGAUACCUCUUUACUUUAACAUUGGUGCAGAACAACUCCACCGCUAACUUUCAAGCCUAAACGCAAAUCUGCUACUGUUGGAAAGUACACGGGUAGGCAUUCAGAUCAACACAAUGUUGUCUUGUUGCUGCUGUACCUCAACACCCACAACAAUAACAAAAACAACAACAACAACAACAACUUGCCCUAUAUUUGAAACUACUUGCACCACUGCUUCCACUACGAGAUUCGGGGCUGAUGUACUAUGAUGAUUCAUUCUUGUUUUUCUUUUGAAUAUAAUGGUUAUUAUGAUUACAACUGUUAUUUUUGCCAUGAAUCGGUUUCAUCUGCAUAGGCUGGUGCUGUAAAGUAUGUAAGUUGUCUAUUCGUGUAUAUUAACGCAUAUGCUCAACAAAUCGGAUCACAGUUUGGCGAAAAGCAAAAUGUGUGAACAAAGCAGUAUUACGAAAUUGUGUUAGGGAUAACACAAUAUCCCAUGUGCAAGGAAGAGCAAAACAUAUUAUUCCAUUUUCCCAGGUUCGGCUGUCGCUGCUCCUGCUUAUGGUCUAUCAUGUAUAGUUUGCAUACUGCCUCUCUGUUGUCUCCGGUGGAACCAGGCAGUUGAUCAUUGUUAAGUGGAUAACAGUCUACCAAACUAAGUUAUGUUGUUUGUGAAUUAGUCACUAUUAUAAAUAAAGUAACUCCUUACUUAAUUGAU